CAGUAACGGCGAGUGAAGCGGCAGCAGCUCAAAUUUGAAAUCCGGCGCCCUCGGCGCCCGAGUUGUAAUUUGCAGAGGGCGGCUCGAGCCCGCCCCCCGUCCAAGUCCUCUGGAACGGGGCGUCGCGGAGGGUGAGAGUCCCGUAUGCGGCGGGGCGGCGUGCUCGUGUGAGCCCCCUUCGACGAGUCGAGUUGUUUGGGAAUGCAGCUCUAAAUGGGAGGUAAAUUCCUUCUAAAGCUAAAUACCGGCCAGAGACCGAUAGCGCACAAGUAGAGUGAUCGAAAGAUGAAAAGCACUUUGGAAAGAGAGUUAAACAGCACGUGAAAUUGUUGAAAGGGAAGCGCUCACGACCAGACUCGGGCGCGGCCGCUCAGCCGGUCUUCUGACCGGUGCAUCGGUCGCGCCCGGGCCAGCAUCGGCUCGGGCGGUCGGAGAAAGGCCUCGGGAACGUAGCUCCCUCCGGGGAGUGUUAUAGCCCGGGGCGCAAUGCGGCCCGCCCGGACCGAGGACCGCGUUCGCUAGGAUGCUGGCGUAAUGGUCGUCAGCGGCCCGUCUUGAAACACGGACCAAGGAGUCUACCAUCUGUGCGAGUGCUAGGGUGUCAAACCCCUGCGCGAAAUGAAAGUGAACGGAGGUGGGAACCUUCGGGUGCACCACCGACCGAUCCAGAUGUCCUCGGACGGAUUUGAGUGAGAGCACCGCUGGUGGGACCCGAAAGAUGGUGAACUAUGCGCGGAUAGGGUGAAGCCAGAGGAAACUCUGGUGGAGGCUCGCAGCGGUUCUGACGUGCAAAUCGAUCGUCAAAUCUACGCAUAGGG
rnacentral:rRNA from 1 species